ACAGGUUUAGUGCUAGUGCUAGGAGUCGCAUGUCUGAUUGUAUUUCUGUGUAAGAAGAGACGGACCAGACAGCCAAAUCAGCAGCAGCAACAAGGUGACCAUCGUGAGACUGAAUUCCUAAACAAGGAAACAAAGAUCUAGAGACAUCACUAAGAGAGCACUUCAAGCUGAUCCUGGAUUGGAUGAUGACACGUCUCCUUCUCAGGGUGACAGCGGAGUUUAAACCUGAGACGUUAAAAUGGAAAGACUCACCACUGAAAGAAUCCUGAAUAGAAAUCUAUGGCAGACUUCUCUAACACCAAAGAUAGUGGUUUAUGAAAUAUAUCCUGCCUCUCCCCCUAAAAAGCCAAUCACCUGCUUUGUCAUGGCCAAACUGAGAAAAACCAGCCAACUGUAUUGUUGCAUUUAUUUGAAACUGUAAUGCACAGAUGAAGUAUAACCUGUGGAGGAGAAAUGCUUUUCAAACCUUACUGGUGUAAAGCCACCAAAGCUUUUAAACGGUUUUUAUAUAUUUGACUCUA